CACGUAGGGGGCGAGCGUUGUCCGGAUUUAUUGGGCGUAAAGAGCUCGUAGGCGGCUCGGUAAGUGAGGUGUGAAAACUCCAGGCUCAACCUGGAGACGCCACCUCAUACUGCCGUGGCUAGAGUCCGGUAGGGGAGCAUGGAAUUCCUGGUGUAGCGGUGAAAUGCGCAGAUAUCAGGAGGAACACCAGUGGCGAAGGCGGUGCUCUGGGCCGGUACUGACGCUGAGACGCGAAAGCGUGGGGAGCGAACAGG
rnacentral:rRNA from 1 species